GCUGGCGGCGUGUUUAACACAUGCAAGUCGAACGGAAAGGCCCUGCUUUUGUGGGGUGCUCGAGUGGCGAACGGGUGAGUAACACGUGAGUAACCUGCCCUUGACUUUGGGAUAACUUCAGGAAACUGGGGCUAAUACCGGAUAGGAGCUCCUGCUGCAUGGUGGGGGUUGGAAAGUUUCGGCGGUUGGGGAUGGACUCGCGGCUUAUCAGCUUGUUGGUGGGGUAGUGGCUUACCAAGGCUUUGACGGGUAGCCGGCCUGAGAGGGUGACCGGCCACAUUGGGACUGAGAUACGGCCCAGACUCCUACGGGAGGCAGCAGUGGGGAAUAUUGCACAAUGGGCGGAAGCCUGAUGCAGCAACGCCGCGUGCGGGAUGACGGCCUUCGGGUUGUAAACCGCUUUCGCCUGUGACGAAGCGUGAGUGACGGUAAUGGGUAAAGAAGCACCGGCUAACUACGUGCCAGCAGCCGCGGUGAUACGUAGGGUGCGAGCGUUGUCCGGAUUUAUUGGGCGUAAAGGGCUCGUAGGUGGUUGAUCGCGUCGGAAGUGUAAUCUUGGGGCUUAACCCUGAGCGUGCUUUCGAUACGGGUUGACUUGAGGAAGGUAGGGGAGAAUGGAAUUCCUGGUGGAGCGGUGGAAUGCGCAGAUAUCAGGAGGAACACCAGUGGCGAAGGCGGUUCUCUGGGCCUUUCCUGACGCUGAGGAGCGAAAGCGUGGGGAGCGAACAGGCUUAGAUACCCUGGUAGUCCACGCUGUAAACGGUGGGUACUAGGUGUGGGGUCCAUUCCACGGGUUCCGUGCCGUAGCUAACGCUUUAAGUACCCCGCCUGGGGAGUACGGCCGCAAGGCUAAAACUCAAAGGAAUUGACGGGGCCCCGCACAAGCGGCGGAGCAUGCGGAUUAAUUCGAUGCAACGCGUAGAACCUUACCUGGGUUUGACAUGGAUCGGGAGUGCUCAGAGAUGGGUGUGCCUCUUUUGGGGUCGGUUCACAGGUGGUGCAUGGCUGUCGUCAGCUCGUGUCGUGAGAUGUUGGGUUAAGUCCCGCAACGAGCGCAACCCUUGUUCACUGUUGCCAGCACGUUAUGGUGGGGACUCAGUGGAGACCGCCGGGGUCAACUCGGAGGAAGGUGGGGAUGACGUCAAGUCACCAUGCCCCUUAUGUCCAGGGCUUCACGCAUGCUACAAUGGCUGGUACAGAGAGUGGCGAGCCUGUGAGGGUGAGCGAAUCUCGGAAAGCCGGUCUCAGUUCGGAUUGGGGUCUGCAACUCGACCUCAUGAAGUCGGAGUCGCUAGUAAUCGCAGAUCAGCAACGCUGCGGUGAAUACGUUCCCGGGGCUUGUACACACCGCCCGUCAAGUCAUGAAAGUUGGUAACACCCGAAGCCGGUGGCCUAACCGUUGUGGGGGAGCCGUCGAAGGUGGGGCUGGUGACUAGGACUA
rnacentral:rRNA from 1 species